GGGGGUGAAUCAGGUUCGACACAGGGCGGGAUGGCAUUCGCAGCGAGCCGAGCCUCUCCGACUCGUAAAUCCGGGGAAAGAACCAUAAGUGCCAACAACGAUUACGCUCUAGCGGCUGCGUAAGUAGCCUCUACGCCGGCCCGAUGACGCCCGCUAUUCGGUGCCCGGUGUCAUGCAGCGGGAUGGCUCUGACCGCAAGCCUGGACGGUCAGGGGACUCAACAGGCUGGCUGAUGCAGGACCCUGCUUUGGGGGGCCGGCAUGAGCGAGAUGCAAAACCAAGGCUACGCUCGUAGACGCGGGUGUGGUCCUCCUUGUGGACAGCGGUGCAACUCCGCUCACCUCCACCA
rnacentral:tmRNA from 1 species